rnacentral:rRNA from 1 species
AUUGAACGCUGGCGGCAGGCCUAACACAUGCAAGUCGAGCGGAUGAGGAGAGCUUGCUCUCUGAUUCAGCGGCGGACGGGUGAGUAAUGCCUAGGAAUCUGCCUGGUAGUGGGGGACAACGUUUCGAAAGGAACGCUAAUACCGCAUACGUCCUACGGGAGAAAGUGGGGGAUCUUCGGACCUCACGCUAUCAGAUGAGCCUAGGUCGGAUUAGCUAGUUGGUGGGGUAACGGCUCACCAAGGCGACGAUCCGUAACUGGUCUGAGAGGAUGAUCAGUCACACUGGAACUGAGACACGGUCCAGACUCCUACGGGAGGCAGCAGUGGGGAAUAUUGGACAAUGGGCGAAAGCCUGAUCCAGCCAUGCCGCGUGUGUGAAGAAGGCCCUCGGGUCGUAAAGCACUUGUAAGCUGGGAGGAAGGGCUGUAACCU